rnacentral:rRNA from 1 species
CCUACGGGUGGCAGCAGUAGGGAAUCUUCCACCAUGGGCGAAAGCCUGGUGGAGCAACGCCGCGUGGGUGAAGAAGGUCUUCGGAUCGUAAAACCCUGUUGUUAGAGAAGAAAGUGCGUGAGAGUAACUGUUCACGUUUCGACGGUAUCUAACCAGAAAGCCACGGCUAACUACGUGCCAGCAGCCGCGGUAAUACGUAGGUGGCAAGCGUUAUCCGGAUUUAUUGGGUGUAAAGGGAACGCAGGCGGUCUUUUAAGUCUGAUGUGAAAGCCUUCGGCUUAACCGGAGUAGUGCAUUGGAAACUGGGAGACGUGAGUGCAGAAGAGGAGAGUGGAACUCCAUGUGUAGCGGUGAAAUGCGUAGAUAUAUGGAAGAACACCAGUGGCGAAAGCGGCUCUCUGGUCUGUAACUGACGCUGAGGUUCGAAAGCGUGGGUAGCAAACAGGAUUAGAUACCCUAGUAGUC